UGGGGUGUAGUUCAGUGGUAGAGCAUUCACAUAGCAUACACAAGGUUCUGGGUUCAAUCCCUGGCACCCCUC
rnacentral:tRNA from 1 species